CCCUUAGAUGUCCUGGGCUGCACGCGCGCUACACUGGGUGGAUCAGCGGGUCAGGUUGCGCGAAAGUGUUUCCUAAUCUUGAAAUCCGCUCGUGAUGGGGAUUGACGGUUGCAAUUUUCCGUCAUGAACGAGGAAUACCUUGUAAGCGCGGGUCAUCAUCCCGCGCUGAAUACGUCCCUGCCCUUUGUACACACCGCCCGUCGCUCCUACCGAUUGAAUGGUCCGGUGAAAUCUUGGGAUUUUGUUUUGUUUGCAUUUAUUUGUAUCGAGACGAGAGAACUUGAGUAAACCUUACCAUUUAGAGGAAGGUGAAGUCGUAACA
rnacentral:rRNA from 1 species